rnacentral:rRNA from 1 species
UACCCCGCUGAAAUUAAGCAUAUAAGUAGGUGGUGGAAAACAAACCAAAUGGGAUUCUUCAAGUAAUGGCGAAUGAACCUAGAUAUGCUCAAUUUGAAAAAUACAGUGAUACUGUUUGACAUGUAAUUUCAAAAUGUACAACCAAUUGGCAUGCAAGUGGAAGCUCAUUGAAAGAAUGCGUCGAAGAAGGUGAAAAUCCAUUUUGCCACUUGUAAUGUUGUUGUUUAUGGUGUAUAUUUCAGGAGUCACAUUCCUUGGCAUUGGAAUGCAAUGUGGGUGGUAAACUUCAUGCAAAGAUUAAUAUGUGUUUGAGAUUGAUAGUACACAAAUACCGUGAGGGAAAUAUGAAAAGGACUUUGAAAAGAGAUUUAAAAGAGUUUGCAGUUGCUGAACAAAAAACAAAUAGGAUGUCGACGAUUGAGCAGAUUGUUGAACCUCGGUUUGCUUCAAUUGCUAGCAUGUGUGUAUUCAAUGAUUCUAUCUUUGUCUACCAUACCAUUCUCAGCGUAUCAUGACACUUGCAGGUUUCGUGUUUUUGCUUGCGGGCUAAUGACAACACCUGCUUGAGAAUGGUAUGCCAAGUGUUCAUUGUGCUUAGAGUCUGCAUACUGCUUAUGUUAAGUUGCAAUUCUGAACUUGUGCUUUGAGCUGUGCUUUACCUUCUGCAUAUGUCUAUUGGUGAUCAUAUCCUGCUUGACCCGUCUUGAAACACGGACCAAGGAGUCUAAUAGAUGUGCAAGCUUUGAAACUGCUAUUUUGUUUAAACCAAUGAAAUUAAGAGCUGGGAUUUUUGCACCAGCAACCAAUUGAUUGGUGGGUAAAGCCUUGAGUUGGAGCAUAUUUAUUAGGACCCGAAAGAUGGUGAACUAUGCCUGAAGAGAAUGAAUUCAGAGGAAACUCUGACGGAAGUUCGCAUCAAUACUGACGUGCAAAUCGUUUGUCAUACUUGGGUAUAGGCGAAAGGAUUUUAAACCCCC